UACAGAGGUCCCAAGCGUUGUUCGGAUUCACUGGGCGUAAAGGGUGCGUAGGUGGCGAGGUAAGUCGGAUGUGAAAUCUUCGAGCUCAACUCGGAAAUGGCAUUGGAAACUACCUUGCUCGAGGGUUGGAGGGGGGACUGGAAUACUUGGUGUAGCAGUGAAAUGCGUAGAUAUCAAGUGGAACACCAGUGGCGAAAGCGAGUCCCUGGACAACUCCUGACACUGAGGCACGAAAGCUAGGGGAG
rnacentral:rRNA from 1 species